GUUUCGUGUGUGAAUAACAGUAACUGCUUUCACGCAGCAGCAACUUAAGUGAAGGAAAAAGAACCUGGCAGCAGGUGAAAAUAAAAUAUAAAAAUAUAGUUCAGAAUGCGACCAAAAAGAAGACUGAGGUUGCUGGCACUGGGGGAGGGCCACCACCAGCCAGCUUCACUCCUGCAGAGGAGCUGGCUUUGGAAAUUAAUAAAGGGAGGCCCGUCCUUGAGGGAAUAGAGGGGGGGACAUCAUCUAAAAUGAUAUCACGUAGUAUAAGGAGUGAGUAUAUAAAAGGUGUGUGUUUUAUCAUUAUUCCUUCCUGACUAACUGAUUUCCUCCUUCUUUAGGCAUUGUAAGCCUAAGUACAUCAUAGCAGUAAUGUCACGUAGAGGUACUUGUGCUACUGUAAUGGUGCAUUUUGGUAAAAAAAAAUUAUUUUUUCUAUCAAGAUUCUGUAUGCUUUAUGGAUCCACCAGACAUCAUGUUGCCUGUGAGUAUGAGACCUUUUAAAUCAGUCAUGUAAGCUAAUGAGUUUAACUGAGUUUAAUCAGUGGUCACAGGGAGAAGGCCCAUCAGUUGAGGAGGAUGAGGAGACUGUGUCUGUAUGUUCAAGGAGGCCUGAGGAUACUGACACUGUUCUAGAGCCCUCUCAGUCUGGGACCACAUGUGACAAAGUGAGUAUUAAGAAAUGAAAACAAUGUGACAAGUGUAUUCAAUGAAAUAACUUAAAUCUAUGUUGCUACAGAACCCAG